rnacentral:rRNA from 1 species
AAAACAUGUUUGUUUGGAGUUAUAAAGAAUUUAACCUGCCCCCUGAUUAACUAUUAAAUUAAAGGGCCGCAGUAUUAUAACUGUGCAAAGGUAGCAUAAUCAUUAGGUUUUUAAUUGAAAUCUCGUAUGAAUGGUUGGACAAAAGAAAGACUCUCUUUAUAUUAAGUUUUGAAUUUAACUUUUAAGUGAAAAGGCUUAAAUAUUCUAAAGGGACGAUAAGACCCUAUAAAACUUUACAUUGUUAUUAAUUUUGAUUGAAUUUAUGAAAUAAAAAUUUUAUUUGAUUAUUUGUUAUGUUGGGGAGACAUAAGUAAAAUAUUUUUUUAACUGCUUGAUAGUUAUACAAUUAUUAGUGAAUAAGUAGAAGAUCCUUUUUAAGAUUAGUAGAUUAAGUUACUUUAGGGAUAACAGUGUAAUUUCUUUUGAGAGUUCUUAUCGAAAAAGAAGGUUGCAACCUCGAUGUUGAAUUAAAAUAUCUAUAUAAUGGAGAGGUUAUAUAAGAAGGUCUGUUCGACCUUGAAAAUUUUACAUGAUUUGAGUUCAAACCGGUGUGAGCCAGG